AUAGAUACCCAGGUAGUCCACGCCGUAAACGAUGAGUGCUAAGUGUUAGAGGGUUUCCGCCCUUUAGUGCUGCAGCUAACGCAUUAAGCACUCCGCCUGGGGAGUACGGCCGCAAGGCUGAAACUCAAAGGAAUUGACGGGGGCCCGCACAAGCGGUGGAGCAUGUGGUUUAAUUCGAAGCAACGCGAAGAACCUUACCAGGUCUUGACAUCCUCUGACAACCCUAGAGAUAGGGCUUUCCCCUUCGGGGGACAGAGUGACAGGUGGUGCAUGGUUGUCGUCAGCUCGUGUCGUGAGAUGUUGGGUUAAGUCCCGCAACGAGCGCAACCCUUGAUCUUAGUUGCCAGCAUUCAGUUGGGCACUCUAAGGUGACUGCCGGUGACAAACCGGAGGAAGGUGGGGAUGACGUCAAAUCAUCAUGCCCCUUAUGACCUGGGCUACACACGUGCUACAAUGGAUGGUACAAAGGGCUGCAAACCUGCGAAGGUAAGCGAAUCCCAUAAAGCCAUUCUCAGUUCGGAUUGC
rnacentral:rRNA from 1 species